rnacentral:rRNA from 1 species
GCGGAGGAUCAUUACAGAAUGAAAAGUGCUUAACUGCAUUUUUUCUUACACAUGUGUUUUUCUUUUUUUUGAAAACUUUGCUUUGGUAGGCCUUCUAUAUGGGGCCUGCCAGAGAUUAAACUCAACCAAAUUUUAUUUAAUGUCAACCGAUUAUUUAAUAGUCAAAACUUUCAACAACGGAUCUCUUGGUUCUCGCAUCGAUGAAGAACGCAGCGAAAUGCGAUAAGUAAUAUGAAUUGCAGAUAUUCGUGAAUCAUCGAAUCUUUGAACGCACAUUGCGCCCUUUGGUAUUCCAAAGGGCAUGCCUGUUUGAGCGUCAUUUCUCCCUCAAACCCUCGGGUUUGGUGUUGAGCGAUACGCUGGGUUUGCUUGAAAGAAAGGCGGAGUAUAAACUAAUGGAUAGGUUUUUUCCACUCAUUGGUACAAACUCCAAAACUUCUUCCAAAUUCGACCUCAAAUCAGGUAGGACUACCCGCUGAACUUAAGCAUAUCAA